rnacentral:rRNA from 1 species
GACGAACGCUGGCGGCGUGCUUAACACAUGCAAGUCGAACGGAAAGGCCCUGCUUUUGUGGGGUGCUCGAGUGGCGAACGGGUGAGUAACACGUGAGUAACCUGCCCUUGACUUUGGGAUAACUUCAGGAAACUGGGGCUAAUACCGGAUAGGAGCUCCUGCUGCAUGGUGGGGGUUGGAAAGUUUCGGCGGUUGGGGAUGGACUCGCGGCUUAUCAGCUCGUUGGUGGGGUAGUGGCUUACCAAGGCUUUGACGGGUAGCCGGCCUGAGAGGGUGACCGGCCACAUUGGGACUGAGAUACAGCCCAGACUCCUACGGGAGGCAGCAGUGGGGAAUAUUGCACAAUGGGCGGAAGCCUGAUGCAGCAACGCCGCGUGCGGGAUGACGGCCUUCGGGUUGUAAACCGCUUUCGCCUGUGACGAAGCGUGAGUGACGGUAAUGGGUAAAGAAGCACCGGCUAACUACGUG